AACGAACGCUGGCGGCAUGCCUAACACAUGCAAGUCGAACGAGACCUUCGGGUUUAGUGGCGCACGGGUGCGUAACGCGUGGGAACCUGCCCUUAGGUUCGGAAUAACUCCCCGAAAGGGGUGCCAAUACCGGAUAAUGUCUACGGACCAAAGAAUUAUCGCCUUUGGAUGGGCCCGCGUUGGAUUAGCUAGUUGGUAGGGUAAAAGCCUACCAAGGCGACGAUCCAUAGCUGGUCUGAGAGGAUGAUCAGCCACACUGGGACUGAGACACGGCCCAGACUCCUGCGGGAGGCAGCAGUGGGGAAUAUUGGACAAUGGGCGAAAGCCUGAUCCAGCAAUGCCGCGUGAGUGAUGAAGGCCUUAGGGUUGUAAAGCUCUUUUACCCGGGAUGAUAAUGACAGUACCGGGAGAAUAAGCUCCGGCUAACUCCGUG
rnacentral:rRNA from 1 species